GACGAACGCUGGCGGCGUGCUUAACACAUGCAAGUGGAGCGACGAACCGGGGCUUGCCCCGGGGCAGAGCCGCGAACGGGUGAGUAACACGUGGGUUACCUGCCCCGAUGACCGGGACAACCCGAGGAAACUCGGGCUAAUACCGGAUGUGGUCUUCGGACGAAAGGAAGCUUUUAUUAGCCUCCGCAUUGGGAUGGGCCCGCGGCGCAUUAGCUUGUUGGUUGGGUAACGGCCUACCAAGGCGACGAUGCGUAGCUGGUCUGAGAGGACGAUCAGCCACACUGGGACUGAGACGCGGCCCAGACUCCUACGGGAGGCAGCAGUGGGGAAUCUUGCACAAUGCGCGAAAGCGUGAUGCAGCAACGCCGCGUGAGGGAAGACGGCCUUCGGUUG
rnacentral:rRNA from 1 species